AAACAACUUACCUGUGAGCAGAGAGAGUAUUUGUUAACCCCUUUGAGCCUAAACAGUUGAAUCUCGGCUUGAAAUAAAGCGAGAUCUCAAAAAUCUUUUUUUUUACAACCCGGAAAAUCUUGAUUAUUGUUCUUUUGCCGUAAAAAGUUAAGAGCAUUCACUUAGGGUGUGGAAGAAAUAAGUUGGGGAGAACGAAAAAGAAUUGGUAAGUACCACAACUCUUGAAAAAGAAAAGAAAAACCGAGCAAGCAUAAAAAAAUGUAUGUAUAGAAAAUAUAGAAAAGAAACAUCUGUUUUGUAUAUUUGAUGUGAAAGAAAAGAACAAAAAUAAAAAGAAUGAAAAUGAAUGCUUGCUUGGAAGAAAAAUAGUAAAAAAUAUAAAUUGAGUUGUGGAAU
rnacentral:lncRNA from 1 species